AGGAGAAUUCAUCCUACCUUUCAUGUGUCUAAAAUAAAACCUGUGUUUCAGGCACGCAUUAACCCGCCGGUCCCGGUUCCCCCGCCGCCACGACUUGUUGAUGGGGAGACCACCUUUUCUGUCAAUCGUAUUUUGGACUCUAGAAGGAGGGGACGCGGAUUCCAGUACCUGGUGGACUGGGAGGGUUACGGCCCGGAGGAGAGAAGUUGGGUACCUGCUAGGGACAUUCUGGAUCACUCCCUUAUCGAUGAUUUCAAUCGACAGUGUUUGUGUGGGCGUGGUUUCCCAAUCUCGGCCUGAUUGUCUGCGCCAGCUGGAACCACUUAUCUUCCCUUUAUAUGUUCUGUUACCAGUGUUUCUUGUUGUCAGAUCGUUGUUUCUUCUCUGAGGUUGUGUCGUGUGUCCGUGCUCUUCUCUUGUGUGGAUUAUCUGCUGUGCUCCUUCCUACUCAUCUGGACACACUCCCCUGGUUUUCUCAGCACGUUAUGAUCGGAAGAUGCGCCCGAGUUCCUGGGUCGGAUUCCUUCUGAGUACAGUCUGUCUGUCAUGUUGCUGCUGUGAACUACAUUCAUUAAAACCAUCGUUGCU